UCCCAGCUGACGAGUCUUAAAUAGGACGAAACGCGCGUCCUGGAU
rfam:Schistosoma margrebowiei strain Zambia genome assembly, scaffold: SMRZ_contig0000182